UCUUAUUAUCCCCCGCCGAAAAUUUUCGGCGGAGGAUAUAGAAAUAGUCUCCGUCCGUCCGACCUUCCGUCCGACAUUUUUGUCCGGAGCAUAUCUCUAAAAGUAUUUGAGUUAUCAACUUGAAACUUCAUAGGUGGAUAGACCUCAUUGAGGAGGAGUGCAGUGCACAAGAAUGAUAACUCUACCUUGCAUGAUUUUUGAGUUAAUGUCCUUUGUUAUUUUUCAAAAUUGAUUUUUGUCCAGAGCAUAACUCCAAAAGCCUAUGAGAUAUUAACAUGAAACUUCAUAGGUGCAUAGAUUUCACUCAGGAGGUGUUCAAUGCACAUGAAUGAUAACUCUACCUUUCAUAAUUUUUGAGUUAUUGCCCUUUGUUAUUUUUCAUACCUAAUUUUUCACCUGAGUGGAGCAUAACUCAAAAAGUGUUUGAGAUAUCAACAUGAAAUGUCAUAGGUGGAUAGAUCUUAUUGAGGAGGAAUGUUGUGCGCAAGAAUGAUAACUCUUCCCUAUACAAUUUUUGAGUUAUUGCCCUUUGUUUUUUUUUCAUGCUAUUUUGUCCAGAGCUUAUCUCAAAAAGUAUUUGAGGUAUCAACUUGAAACUUCAAAGGUGGAUGGAUCUCAUUGAGGAGGAGUGCAGUGCUUAAGAAUGAUAA